CAGGAUCAUCUUCCACACAAGAGGACAACCUGGACACCCCCACACCUAACAGCGGGCCCAGUCCUUCCCCGACCGGGAGCGGUGGGAACGUUCCCCUGUGCAGCCGGCCAUGACAGGCCCAUGUCGGGCCGGGCCUCGGCUCCUCCACUCCACGGAGCAAGUGAUUGACAGGUCUCACCGGGGGAGGUGGGACUCCUUAUCUGCCAUUCAGAACAGCUGGCUGUGGGAUGAAGACGCCACACGAAGCGAUAGUUUGAGAGCAUCACACCGACACGGUCGCUGACCUCCGCCGAGCGACACUUGGCGCUCCCAGAGGAGCAGAGGAGUGCCGGACAAUCCCUGAG